AUAAAGAUCUUUCUGGAGAUGUAUCUUCAGUAGCUGAAGUGAGAACAGGAUUCAUGGUUGAGUAGAGCCGAACGUACUGGUUUUAAAUCGCCGAGGGAAGGAGGUGCAAUACCCUCGGAGGGCAGCCUGGGGACCACUUGCCCUACCCCUUCACCAUGGAUUUGUGAAGCCUUCAGUUUCCUCCCCCUCCCCUCCCGUGUGGGGGCCGCAGCCCAGCCCAGCCCUGCCUCCCGCAAAUUCCGGCCGCCUGCUCACGCCCCGCUCCGUGCUGGUGCCAGACGGGGAGGGAGGACGACGAGGGCACGGCAGGGACUUGGGGAGGCGCUGAGGAGCCGCCGCAGGUCGCUCGCCCCGCAGCGUCCUGGGGUUGCGCGGAGGCGGCGGUGCUGGCAGCGGAGCCCUGGGAUCCCGGGAAAUGUAAACAUUGUGUUUCUUCUGAGCACAGUAUAAGCAUUUCUUCACAUCAUCAAUGAAAGCUUAAAG
ensembl:lncRNA